UUGGAUGCAGCGCUAUUUAUAGGUGGCGGUAAAGGCUCCUUUUCAAUAAGCAGCCGUGGAAAAGAAACGUCAGAAAACUGGCUGCUUUAUUGAUCCGAAGUGCUGGACGGUCACAGCCACGCCAGCCAGGCUGCACCUACAAAGUCGCGUCUCCUCUCGGGUUAGGCAGCGAGAAGGGGAAUAGGAUGCGGGUUUUGCUGACCACUAGCUUGGACACGAUUCAAUUCCCAAGCACAGGUACAGGGCAAAAGAGUGUGAGAUGGAAGACUUUUCCCUUUUCUUUCAGACACGGACACAAUGCAGGGCACCCGCAGGGCUGAAAGUGGGCCAGGGCUACACGGUGCACGUUAGAACAAGCUGGAAGCACUCUUUGUGCCUGACGGUAUCCCCCACGCCCAUUGGAAAUAAAGCAAGAGGCUUGCUCUUUCUUUGCAUCUUUUAAA